rnacentral:misc_RNA from 1 species
GAUGAAGAACGUAGCGAAAUGCGAUACGUAAUGUGAAUUGCAGAAUUCAGUGAAUCAUCGAAUCUUUGAACGCACAUUGCGCCUGCCAGCACUCUGGCAGGCAUGCCUGUUCGAGCGUCAUUUCAACCAUCAAGCCCUAGGCUUGCGUUGGAGCCCUGCGGCUGCCGCAGGCCCCUAAAAGCAGUGGCGGGCUCGCUAUCACACCGAGUGCAGUAGAUUACUCUUCGCUCAGGGCGUGUGGGGGGUUCCAGCCGUGAAACCCCCUACUUCUCAAGGUUGACCUCGGAUCUGGUAGGAAUACCCGCUGAACUUAAGCAUAUCAAUAAGCGGAGGA